UCCGGAGGGAGACUAUGUGUGUCUGUGCGGGACUACUACUGCUACAAAUUUCAGAUGCGUCCCGGGAUAUUCAACCCAAUACUCUAUGGUAAGAGUCUUUUCCAACAGUUUGCGGUAGACACAUACAUCAAGAUAGAGAACUCCCGGUUGGACUAUAUAUGGGGCCAUCAAGAUACGAUAAAGGCGUACCUAUACCAGGGCUUGGUGGACAGCUUACAUGUUGGUGAGGGUAGGGCAGAUGCUAUUGGAAAAGUGUUAUCUACAUCUUUUAUCGGUGGUCCACGGGACAAGAGGCGUCGCUACAUGGAUGCCAUGGCCUUAGUUCGAAAGUAUGGCAAGCCGGACGUCUUCCUCACAAUGACAUGCAACCCAAACUGGGAUGAGAUUAAGCAGGAACUCUACCCCGGUCAAACACCUCAGGAUCGUCCAGAUCUCGUUGUUCGUGUUUUUAGGGCAAAGUUGGAGGAACUCAAGAAUAAGUUGCUUCAGAAGGACAUACUGGGCAAGGUGAGGGCUUAUGUUUAUGUGGUGGAAUUCCGGAAGGGGGUCUGCCUCAUGCCCACUUCUCAUCAUGGAGGGGCGGUACUGUCACGCCCAAUAUGCGACCCUAUCCAAAAGGAACUCGAAGGUCCCACCAAGGAUAGACCCGCAUAUUGGAACGCUUUUGCAAGGUGGAUAUCAUUACAUCAACAUUACAUAAUAGAUGGGGAUACAUACACAAGGCAUACAAUGCCACACGAAUACAACAACACAUCAUACAUAAGAUCAACAUCCGGCUACGGAUGA
rnacentral:rRNA from 1 species